rnacentral:rRNA from 1 species
GACGGGGACCCGCACAAGCAGCGGAGCGUGUGGUUUAAUUCGUUGCUACACGAAGAACCUUACCUGGGUUUGACAUAUAGGUUGUAGGGAACUGAAAAGGGACCGACCCUUCGGGGAGCCUAUACAGGUGUUGCAUGGCUGUCGUCAGCUCGUGUCGUGAGAUGUUCGGUUAAGUCCGCUAACGAGCGCAACCCUCGUCGUAUGUUAUAUGUGUCAUACGAGACUGCCGGUAAAAGCCGGAGGAAGGUGAGGAUGAUGUCAAGUCAGCAUGACCUUUAUAUCCAGGGCUACACACACGCUACAAUGGUCUGUACAAUGGGUAGCCAAGCCGCGAGGCGGAGCCAAUCCUGAAAGCAGGCCUCAGUUCAGAUUGCAGUCUGCAACUCGACUGCAUGAAGCCGGAGUUGCUAGUAACCGCAGGUCAGCAAUACUGCGGUGAAUACGUUCCCGGGUCUU